CUGUUUAUUGGCAGUGUAGGAUGAGGUGCAAAUUACUCAUCGUGCGUGGGCCCCGCUUUUCCUGCUCGGUUCUCCCAAUCCCCAACACCCACGUCACCUGCCUCCAUGAGCCAGGCAUUUAAGAACUCCAGCCUGCCACCUUCCCCGUCUCCCCCCGUCUCCCGAUACGGCAGGCGUACUUUCCGCCGCGGGUGCAAGAAGCACUGCUCCCUGCCUCGUCCUUCGACCUCCCCCGAACGGAACGCCCCGUCGGUCGAUCACGCGAAUAUUGAGAUGCUUGUUUCCCUACCUUCGCGUGCCCUGCGAGACAUCCUACAAUCUCCGCGCUGAGCCCCCAUUUAAUCGAUGCAGCUUCGGUUCCAUCAAUCAUAAAGCACGGCGUGGCCAUCCUCACCGUUGGAUUGCUUAUUAUCCUAUUUUUUCAUUUUUCUUGCUGUUCUGAUUCGUUUGUCCAUAAAAAUUCCGCUUUUUAUUUUUGAAUUAUUAUUCUUUGGAUGUGAUAUCGAAUUUACGGUUAAAUAAUUUCGGUAGGAUUAUUUGGAUUUUUUUGAAGGAAUAUGUUCAUUAUUUUUUGAAUACUGGGGAAGAGGAUAAAUAGAAUGAAGGAGCUGGUGGAAGAGAGGCCUACGUCGAAGCCGAUGCUGAAGAAGCCACCGGGGUACCUCGACCCCGCGGUGCCGUACCCGGCAGCGCCGAGGCCGCCGCCCAGGCGGCAGCCGCUGCCCCCGGCCUUCCGCCAGCCCGGGAAGCCACUAACCCAGCAGCGCCAUCGCCGACCGCGGCGCUCCUGCUGUUGCCGCGUCUGCUGCUGGGCCUCCGCUGUGGCCCUCGUCUUGGGUACCUUACUUGCCGUCGCCAUGGGGCUCGCCUACCUCUGGUUCCAGCCGCGGCUCCCCUCCUUCCGCCUCGAGUCCCUCAACGCCACCGCGCUCCGCGUCGUCGCCAGCCCCGACGGGACCUUCCUCGACGCGGCUAUCAAGGUCGGGAUCCUGGCGACUAACCCCAACGGGAGAAUCGUGCUGGAGUACGGCGACGGGGACGCCCGGGUGGUGGUGGCGGACGACGACGGUGACGUGGGGGUGGGGGCGGUGGCGAUCACGGGGUUCGAGCAGGGGAGGAGGAACCGGACGGUGGUUCGGUUCGCGGCGGCGGCGAAGGGGGUAGCUGUGGAUGAGGUGGCUGGGGCGAGGAUCCGAGCCGGGUUCAGGAGUAAGGAGGUGCGUUUCGGAGUGGAGUUGAGGACGAAGGUGGGGCUCCAGGUGGGCGGUAAGAGCACCGGGAAGGUGUUGAUCCGGGUGGGGUGCAGCCCGGUGAGUUUAAAGCAGGGGGUGAGCGGUGGGACGCUGCCCAAAUGCGUCUUCUACUUGUUUAGUUGGAUUAAUUUGCAUUGAGAGGGCUUCCUAUUUGUAUGUCAAAGGAGAUGGCAUCUGCUGUUGCUGUACGGCAGAUCUGUAUUUGUUUUCCCGCUCUGCGAGUUCAGCUUCAACCUGCCAAAUUUACAGCAAGCUCACACUGUAUCUUCUUAAAAGCUGUUAUUACAGAAGAGGUCGAUGGUUUAGGCGAUGGGCUCCGAUUUGGAGUUGUGCCCUGCGCUCCGCCACCACGGCAACCACUUCUUGGCCAAGCUCUUCAUCUCCGGCCUUCUCCUCGGUGCAUCCUUCACCCUCCGCUCUUACUUUAGCGAGUACAACGCUGUCACCAGGAUGCUCUCAGUUGCCGUGGAGAAGCGAAGCUUCAGGAAGAAAGGUCCGAGGUAU